GCUGAGAUAAAAAAUGUUGGCCCAUAAUAGAAAUAAAAUGUUUGGGUUUAUGGGCCCAAUUUUGUUCAGUUUGGCCGUCUUUUAGCCACUGAAUUUCUUUACCCAUUUUUAUGUUUUUCGAAUCAAGCAAAAAAAAUGAAAACACGAAUUGUGUUCUAGGGCUCCUGUCGCUCCUCGAAGGCUCGAAGUGGAAGGAUAAGAUUUGGGUUUGUGUUUGGGAGAUUAGCUUUAGUUUCAUCAGGAGCAGCGCCGAAAAGAUUACAAAUUUGUGUUCAGGGAGGACAAUGAGCAGGAAGAUACAUCAAAGUAUGUAAAAUUAUAGUUGUUUAAUAAUAAGAUUAGAUAUUCGUGAUGCAAAUGUCUGCAACAAAUAAUCUGUUUUCAUUUAUAUACAGUGAGGUUGCAGAUGUUUAAUUUGUCUGCAGUCUUCUCUUUCAUUUA